UCGUUAUGUCACCGGCGAGGUCAUUACAAUAUGUUCAAUAAAACGUAAUCACGGACAAAAUACGUUUUUUAGACAAACGUAAUUGAGAAUGCCGAAUAGUUCUCUGGGAACGUAAUUUUGAUGAGAAAGGGUUGCACUGUUUGGACCAGAAUAGUGCAGUGGUGUUUCACGGUUUUCUGUUUCCUGUUUCUUAUUGUGUACUGUCACCCAUGUAUCAUCUAACACACUCCCUUCAUUUAAACAGGCCCUCAAAACCCACCUUUUCAAGAUCGCUUUCAACACAUAACCUCCUUCCCUUCUCUACCCUCCCUCCUUUUAACGAGUCUUUUAUACCUAUUUCAGUUUUUUAGAUAACUAUUUUCACCCUAUUUUAUCUUCUUACUUAUAUAUGAUAUUAUUAAAUGUUUUUAUUCUGUGUUCACUCUGUUAAGCGACUGAGUAUUUAGAAAAGCGCUAUAUAAGCUGAAUUUAUUAUUAUUAUUAUGUAAGAAUAUGCAUUUAAAAUAAUAAAAAUCUCAAAGGUAACAUUAGCUGGUUGUCCAUCAAUGGAGUUGGACUCAUAAGGUGAAUUAUGUUGUGAAUACUUCAUGGGAGCGUAUCUUCUUAAUCUUUGAGUCAGCGAGCAAAACACAUUUCCUUUCCUAAUAAACCCCCUAAAUCCCAGAAAAGCUCAAAUCUGCAGACAAACAUAAGGAAAAAGCUUUGCACCAUAUCAACUGAUUGAUUGCCUUUGUAGUUCUGAAAGAGUUAGGUAGGUUUACUGUAGUUCUAAAUAUUUUUAUUGUAGUUCUGAAGGAACAACAUUUUGUGAUUUUGAAUGAGUUUAUUGUGAAUCAGAAGUAGUUUAUUGUAAUUCUGAAAUAUUUUUAUUGUAGUUCUGAAGGAGCACCUUGGCCUAUUGAUGAUAGUAGGUGUUUCUUUUUUAUUAACACCAGGGUUGUUCAGGAAAUGGCUGCCCAUGAUAAUUAUACAACCAACCUGUCACAGUUUCAACGGUUGUUUGUCUUUGUGUCGUUUUAGUUUCUUCCUCCAGAUGUCCUCAGUUAUUCUUUUCCUUCCCAUCAUUAUCUAGAUUUACUUCCUCCUGGUUUGAUUUGUUGAUUUGUUAAUUGUGUCCUCAUGUGUUGUUAAGCCCUCCGUUUGUUAUCCGUUUGUCUGAAGGUCCUGUCCUGUAGCUGAGUAAGUCUAGCAAGUGUCCUAGUUAAUGAUUAAACUUUUGUUUGCUGGCAAUCAUUA